AGGGAGAUCCCCCACACUGGUACUGAGACACGGACCAGACUCCUACGGGAGGCAGCAGUGAGGAAUAUUGGGCAAUGGAGGCAACUCUGACCCAGCCAUGCCGCGUGAAGGAAGACGGCCCUAUGGGUUGUAAACUUCUUUUAUAGAGGAAGAAACGCAGAUACGUGUAUCUGUUCGACGGUACUCUACGAAUAAGGACCGGCUAACUCCGUGCCAGCAGCCGCGGUAAUACGGAGGGUCCAAGCGUUAUCCGGAAUCAUUGGGUUUAAAGGGUCCGUAGGCGGGCAAUUAAGUCAGAGGUGAAAGCCCACAGCUCAACUGUGGAACUGCCUUUGAUACUGGUUGCCUUGAGUUAUAGUGAAGUAGAUAGAAUAUGUAGUGUAGCGGUGAAAUGCAUAGAUAUUACAUAGAAUACCGAUUGCGAAGGCAGUCUACUAACUAUAUACUGACGCUGAUGGACGAAAGCGUGGGGAGCGAACAGGAUUAGAUACCCUGGUAGUCCACGCCGUAAACGAUGGAUACUAGUUGUUAGACUUACUUUUAGUAAGUUUAGUGACCAAGCGAAAGUGAUAAGUAUCCCACCUGGGGAGUACGGUCGCAAGAUUGAAACUCAAAGGAAUUGACGGGGGCCCGCACAAG
rnacentral:rRNA from 1 species